rnacentral:lncRNA from 1 species
GAAACUGUUUCUUAAAAUUGUUUACAUUUAGGCAUCAGGUGCCUGUUGAUGACACUGUUUUUAAAUUCAAAUGUCCUAUUAAUGGUUUUUGAAAGAAAAUUAAGCCAAUGGCAAACUUAUUGGUGUCCAUUUUACCCGUGGUUUAAACAGGACUGGCUACCUCCUCUGCAGGUUUCUUUGCCUACUGCUGAGCAUGAAAGCCAGAAGUUUUGAUGCAUGGCAUCAAACAUUCAGGAAAGGACAUCGUGCUACUCUCCUUAUCUCACUGUCUGUGGGAAGGAAUGGACAUCCAGAGCAUCGGCAAGUGAACAAAUGUCCAGGACAGCAAAGGCUACAACUCCAAAGACUCAUGCCAGCAAUCAGGAAGUAAUCAAACCCAAGUUCACCAUUGGUCCAAACAUUAUGCCUCGGCAUGUACAAAGGCUGAAGCUCAUGCUCAAAGGCUUUCCUUUAAAAGCCUUUCUUCCUCCCCUAGUACUAAGACUAUAGUUUCAUUUUGAGCAGCAGAUCACACAGUCCUCAUUUUGUCUGGCGUAAUUAAUAAACCUUUACUUCUUUUUCUCCA